ACAAUUGGUGUGUCAACUACAACCGAAGGUUCAACAACAACAGGUGAAUCAACAACUGAUGCAUCAACUACAACUGGGGAUUCAAUAACAACAGGUGGAGGUUCAACAACAACAGAAGGCUCCACCGCAACUGAUGGAUCAACUACAACUGGUGGUUCAACAAUUGGUGUGUCAACUACAACCGAAGGUUCAACAACAACAGGUGAAUCAACAACUGAUGCAUCAACUACAACUGGGGAUUCAAUAACAACAGGUGGAGGUUCAACAACUGGAGAAUCCACAACAACUGGAGGCUCAACUACAAAUGGAGGGUCCACAGCUACAACAACAGCUGGUUUAUCAUCAUCAACUGGAGGUCCAACAACAAGUGGAUCAACCUUAACUGGAGUUUCAACUACAACUGGAGAUUCAAUAGCAUCAAGUGGAUCAAUGGCAACAACUGCAGGGUCUACAACACCUAUAACUGAAGGUUCAACAACAACAGGUGGAUCAACUACAACUGGAGAUUCCACAACAAUAGGUGGAUCAACAACAACUGGAUAUCCAACGACAACAAUUGGAGGUUCAACUACUGAAGAAUCCACAACUGGAAGUUCAACUCCAACUGCAGGGUCAGCAAUAACAGCAUCAACAACUGAUGUUUCAUCAACAACUAUUGUUACAACUGGUGCAUCAACUACAACUGAAGGUUUAACAACAACAGGUGGAUCAACUGCAACAACUGCAGGGUCUACAACAACUGGUGCAUCAACUACAACUGAAGGUUUAACAACAACAGGUGGAUCAACUGCAACAACUGCAGGGUCUACAACAACUGGUGCAUUAACAGCAACUGGAGAAUCAACAACAACAGGAGGUUUAACUACAACUGGAGGGUCCACAGAAACAACAACAACUGGUGAAUCAACAACAACAAAUGUAGGUUCAACAACAACUGGGGGACCAACAACAACUGGUGGGUCAACUGCAACCGGUGUGUCAGCGACAACUGGAGGUUCAACAACAGCAACUGCUGGGUCAACUACAAUUGAAGGUUCAACUACAACUGGCUUGUUAACAACUGAUGCAUCAACUACAACUGGGGAUUCAAUAACAACAGGUGGAGGUUCAACAACUAGAGAAUCCACAACUGGAGGCUCGACUACAAAUGGAGGAUCGACAGCUACAACAACAGCUGGUUUAUCAUCAUCAACUGGAGGUUCAACAACAACAAGUGGAUCAACUGCUACUGGAAGUUCAACUACAACUGGGCAUUCAACAAUUAGUGGAUCAACUACAAGUGGAGGAUCAACAACAACAGCUGGAGGUUCAACUACUGCUGAAUCCAUCAACUGCAGCAUUUACAAGUCGAGCCUCAAUAAUAAAGUCAACACUUGAACCUUUCUACCAAAAAGCAUUUUCUUCAUUCCGCUUCUUGAAGGUGAUUUCAUUCAGUAGUGGAUCAAUCAUCAACAACUUGGCCCUUACAUUUUCAUCCACAUCCAUUCCUAAUAACACUCAGAUUGGAAAUGUUUUGGUAAGGGCAGCUUCAAACAUAACAGCUUUCAACGUUGACACCACCUCCAUUUCUGUGGAUGGCACACAAGUUUCAAGUGGAGUAAGCCACAAGAUCAGUCUCAUCACUGCAUCCUUCCUUGUAAUACUGUCAUGGCUACUGUCAAGCCAGCAAUAGUGCAGCGGUUAUGCCCAUGUGAAAUACCAUUAAGAAAAAGACUUCUAUUACUGAUAUAAAAAGGACUUUGCUCCCAUUAAAAAUUCAAGAGGACUUCUGAUGAUCACAAUAUUUGGCUUGGAAAGAACUUCCAGAUAUUACACACAUUGAUAAUGGAUGUUGGUUGCAAUGGCACAUCAAUUCAACUUUGACAGGACAGACCAUUACUGGAACUUUUCCUUAUUUAUUAAAGAGAGACAACUUUAAGCACUUGGCCCACUGAAGAAAAUAGUCAUCACUGUAAUGAAUGGCUUAAAAAUGAGAGUAACAUGACAAUUGAAACCUUGUAUAUCAGACACACCAUUACACACCACGUAAACUGUUCACUAUGUUUAAAUUAUUGUGCUAUGAUAACAUGAUGUAGAAAAAAUAACAUUUAAAUUGAACACAAUGCCCUGUAUGAUUAUCCAGUCACUUUUCUUAUUUAAAUGUAUUUAUACUAUCAUACAUAUGUGUAUUCUGUGAGCUUACCUGUAUUUUUGUACAACUUGAGUAAAAAAAUUGGUCUUUGUGAUGAUCAGGAUACACUAAUAAUAAAAAACGGUCUAUUCUAUGUCA